rnacentral:sRNA from 1 species
AUUUAUUCAUUAAUUUUAUAUGUGGUCUUUUAAAUCGUGAAUUAACAUUGAGUAAUUUUUAAAAUAUAAAAAUUCGUUGACCAGAUCAAAAUAGACAUGAUGUUAUCAGUUGUUAAUGCAAUCUCUAACACUCAUUUACGAUUCUGCUAGUCAACUUUCAAAUUGUGACCAUUUUGAACAUCAAGGUUAUUCAAAACAUGAAAACGUUGACUACCAUUUGAAACACGAGAAUCCGUUGACUAAGCUAAAAUAGACAUAUCGUUGUUAGUCAUUAAGAAAA